rnacentral:rRNA from 1 species
CUCAUUAUAACAGCUAUAAUUUACUUGAUCUUGACACAAUCCUACUUGGAUAACUGUGGUAAUUCUAGAGCUAAUACAUGCAUUAAAGCUCCGACCUCACGGGAAGAGUGCAUUUAUUAGAACAAAACCAAGCGGCUUCGGCUGUUUAUGGUUGACUCAUAGUAACUGAGCUGAUCGCAUGGUCUUGCACCGGCGACGUGUCUUUCAAGUAUCUGCCGUAUCAACUUUCGAUGGUAGUGUAUCUGACUACCAUGGUGAUCACGCGUAACGGAGAAUAAGGGUUCGGCUCCGGAGAGUUCGCCUGAGAAAUCGCGAACACAUCUAAGGAAGGCAGCAGGCGCGAAAAUUACCCACUCUCAGCACGAGGAGGUAGUGACGAAAAAUAACGAGACCGUUCUCUUUGAGGCCGGUCAUCGGAAUGGGUACAAUUUAAACCCUUUAACGAGUAUCUAUGAGAGGGCAAGUCUGGUGCCAGCAGCCGCGGUAAUUCCAGCUCUCAAAGUGCAUAGAAUUAUUGCUGCGGUUAAAAAGCUCGUAGUUGGAUCUGUGCCAUAGGACUGGGUCCACUUUCGGGUGCGUACUCAGCUCCUAGGCUUUUUGACGGUUUUCCCGUCGUAGCCUUCACUGGUUGCGGCGGGUGGCUGUCGAGUUUACUUUGAGAAAAUCAGAGUGCUCAAUACAGGCGUAUCGCUUGAAUGAUUGUGCAUGGAAUAAUAGAAAAGGAUUUCGGUCCUCUUUUAUUGGUUUUGUGGACUGAGAUAAUGGUUAACAGGGACAAACGGGGGCAUUCGUAUCGCUGCGUGAGAGGUGAAAUUCUUGGACCGUAGCGAGACGCCCUACUGCGAAAGCAUUUGCCAAGAAUGUCUUCAUUAAUCAAGAACGAAA